GUUAAAACAAAAAGUAGCUUGCAUCCUACUGUUAAUGUGAAGACAAGGGUCCCACGUAUCCCACCUGGCAAAGUCUCAACACGAGAGACCCCAUUUAAGUGGGAGGGUCCAUCUCAUCGUCUGGAGAUAACACCUCCACAGGAACCAGAACGCUCCCAGUCUCCUCUCCGAAUAGAAGAUCUCGUCCCUGAUGAAGAAGAGGCACUGCAUGGACUCAUCAAUCAGUACGAGAGGAAGAUCGACAGCCUGGUGACAGAGGUCAACUCUCUGAAAAAUGAGGCCUUCUUGCAAAUUUCAUCUGGAUCUGGAUGUGCCAGGACACUGUGAUACAGCAGAAAUCCUGCCAGGCAGAUUUAUUAUGGCAGUGUUUUCCAGACCAGGAGUACUGCCAGGAAUUUAAAAGAAACAUAAUUACUUAUAUUCAUCACAGUCAAGAAAUUCACCAAAUUAAACUGAUAAAAAAAAUGCUAA